rnacentral:rRNA from 1 species
UACAGAGGUGGCGAGCGUUGUUCGGAUUUAUUGGGCGUAAAGGGUCCGUAGGCGGUUUAGAAAGUCGGGUGUGAAAUCCCACAGCUCAACUGUGGAACUGCAUUCGAUACUACUAGACUGGAGUGUGAGAGGGGUAAAGGGAAUUCCCGGUGUAAGGGUGAAAUCUGCAGAGAUCGGGAAGAACACCAGUCGCGAAGGCGCUUUACUGGCUCACAACUGACGCUGAGGGACGAAAGCUAGGGGAGCAAACGGG